UAAAAGACCAGGAUAGAAAUAUUUGUAAACGUUCCUCUGAAUAUUAUAUUAUAAAAAUAUUAGAUCAAGAGGAAUUUAUAUGUAUUGUAAUUUGGUAUCGAUAUUGUUCUGCGUUAUUUUUCAAUAUUUUCUUUUUUUUUUAUAUUUUUUUUUCAUUCAUCGUCGACCACGAGUUAUCAUAUAUAUAAAGGACGAAGGCAACGACGACGUUAAUGGGAAUCACGAUUUCCAUUAAUGACAGAACCAGUAGGAGCAAAUUCGUAGCACGACGUCGUUUUCCUUCUCUUCGUCUCUUUGCGGAGAAAUUUUCGGAAGGGGUUAGGGUAAGAAGGAUAAGGGUAAAGGUAGAGAGGUGUAAGGGUAGGUAGGAUGAUAAGGGAAGAGGAAGAGGAAAGUAAUCGAAGCCCACCAAGAGUAGAAAGGAUGAACGAUUCUCGAAAGGAGUUCGACCUUCGGGAAAAAGACUAAGCCAUUAAAAAAUAAUCUUUUUCAUGUAUACGUAAAAAAAAAUUACAGAGAUAACGAUUUAACUUAACUUUUCUUUCCUUUCCUUUUUUUUUCCCCUUUAUCAACGUUGUUAUUUCUCUCUUCGAAACUUUAACCUUUUAAACGCGUUCGUGGUAACGUUUUAAUCGUUAACUGUUACGUGUUUUCUAAACGUGAAAACUUUAUUAACCUAUUAUAACCGUUCGUAUUCUAAGCUCUUCUAUUUUUCUCUCAAACUCCUUUUUGGACUUUCCUGAUUACUCUUUUGCGAAGCCACGUUUUUCUUGGCGUGUUUUUGAAAAAAAGAAAAGAGAGAGAGAGAGAGAGAGAGAGAGAGAGAGAGAGAGAAACCUUUUAUAAAAGUGUUCUAACUUGAAAGCAAUUCCAUGUGUGUAACUAUUACUUUCAUGAAAAAUAUAAAAACGAAGUCGACGAAGCACUUUUUAAAAUAGUUACAUACGUCGAUCGACUCGUUAUAUCGAAAUUAUUUGCCCAUCUUGAUAGAAUUUUGAUUAAUAUAUAUUUCGUUAAACAUUUAUACGAAUUCGAAUGCAGUAUAUACUCGUUUACGAAUUUCGACCAAUCGCGUUUCAUUCGAGCGUCGCGCGAUUCUACUAACGGGGAACAUCGGGACAUGUGUAAAACGUCUCGUAGAGAGUGACAGAAAAUGAGAGAGAGAGAGAGAGAGAGAACUUAGUAAGACCUUUAAAACGAAAACUUUCCAACGUGUUCGACGCUCCUUUCUCGUGACUCCUUACAACGACCUCUUACCUCUUUGGAUUCGUGUUUCCGAAGGUGGCACUCAAGAAGAGAUAAUCUGGGAUUUCGGAAAGGGGUUUGCCUGCCUGCCUGCCUGCCUUUCCUUUCCUUUCCUUUCCUUUCCUUUCCUUUCCAACUUAACGUAAAUCUUCGACAAGUGAAAAUCGUUACGAGAUCUUAGUUGCAUCAUGAUCGAUUUUAUAUCAUGGUAUCUAUAUCUAUGAUCUAAUCAUUUUAUCUCUAAAGUGAUUCGAGUGAAAGAAUGAAAUUCAAUUUAAUUUCUUUUUCAACCAAUUUUUCAUAGAAAUACUUGAUAAUUUUUCUAAGCAAUUUCUAAUACGAUUGAGACCUAUUAUUCGUCUUUAAAGAAAACUAUUAUCAAUAAUAUAGGAUGACAAAUUCUCAAAAUUGCCAAGAGAUUUCAAGACGAAAUAAACGAAAAGGAAGGAGAUACUAUAAUAAAGAACGAACGAGUAAUGCACGAGUGAUCGGAAAAGUAUCAUGGACAAAGACAAUAAAAUAUUAUUACGACAGAUUCAGAUAUUAUUAUUUCUAUAUUGCAGAAAAAGUCGAUACUUUCAUUGCUGCUAUUUGCUUGUGGAUCAUCAAAUUAUAUUUCUCUUUAAUGGGAUAUGGAUCGUAAACGAGAUCGAUACAAUGAUCGAGGAGUGAUCAUCACUAUCAAAUAAAUUGUCUUAAUAAAUUUUCUUAUUGUCAAUGCAUAUUUAUAUGAUCUAUUACUUUUCAUUAAAAGAAAAUCUAAUGUAA